rnacentral:lncRNA from 1 species
GUAUGUGUGGGUGUGGGUGGGUGGGUGGUGGUGGGGGUGACUUAGCCCGGGGCGCCGGCGCCGGUUCGGGAGUAAAGAUGGAGCGGGAGUCACGGAGGCGCAUCCAUGAACUCCGCUUCUUUGGAUUUCGGGGCCCAGCUGUUCUCUCUCCCCGGAGCCUGGGCUGCCGGAAUCUUACUGAGCUGCAGGAGCGCUCUGUCUCUGUCUCUCCUUUUCCUCUCUCCCUGCCCUCCCAUCUCUUCUUCUCUCUGUCUUUCUCCUCUCUUUCCUUUUCUCUCCCCUUCCCUCUUCCUCUCUCCAUCUCUGUGUGUGUGUGUCCCCCCCGCCCCCGGCAUUAACCGAUAUCCCCAACCUCACCUGCUGUUUUGGAGACCAGCCUCUCCGAGCCCGGGCAGCUGGGAGUGUCCCCCCGCCAGGCCCUUCGGAGGAGCCCGGGUUGCCCGCUCUCGCUCCCCUCCCGCAGUGCAUUGUUAUGCAGCCCCCUUUGUUCCGAGUUCCAGCCCGUUUCUCUCCACCUCGGAACCGCUUUGGGGCUUGGCCUGCCUCUCGCCAGCUUAUCCUCUGCGCGGCUCUGAGUGUGGCGCCGGCCGUCAGUAUUCCCCGGAUGCCUAAAGAGUUAGUACGGGUAGAAAUUGCCCAGCACGUUAGGGGUGUGGACGCGGUGUGUAGGAAGUCUCCCUGCUUUCCACAGCCCCCGAGUUGGGAGAAAUGACAAUUUGCUUUUCUCCAAAGGUAAACAGAGGCAAGAUCGUAAUGGUUCUGAUACCUGAUUAGCAUGGAACUGUGUACUUCAGGCUGGCCUUGAGCUUACUAUGUAGUAUAGGGUUGGCCUCGAAGGAGAUCCUCCUACUUCAGCCUCCCGAGUGCUGGGAUUACAGAAACUGCACUCAUAGAGGACUGCCUUCCCAGAUGGAUCGUUUUGAUGUCCUUUCCCUCAGCUCUGUCACAUUUGAGUGUGACUUAAAGACUAUGUGGCAGUAUUUUGAAAUAAUGUGUCAGAACUUCGGAGCUAGGGGAUGGACUGGAGCUUAGUGGUGAGCGCUUGCCUAGCAUGGGCCAGGCCCUGGCUUCCACCCCCAGAACCACAGAAAAGAACCCCCAGAAUUAUGUGUGAUUGAAAUAAAAUUUUG